rnacentral:rRNA from 1 species
GACGAACGCUGGCGGCGUGCCUAAUACAUGCAAGUCGAGCGAAUCAAUGGGAGCUUGCUCCCUGAGAUUAGCGGCGGACGGGUGAGUAACACGUGGGUAACCUGCCUGUAAGACUGGGAUAACUUCGGGAAACCGGAGCUAAUACCGGAUACUUUCUUUUCUCGCAUGAGGGAAGAUGGAAAGAUGGUUCUGCAAUCACUCACAGAUGGACCCGCGGCGCAUUAGCUAGUUGGUGAGGUAAUGGCUCACCAAGGCAACGAUGCGUAGCCGACCUGAGAGGGUGAUCGGCCACGCUGGGACUGAGACACGGCCCAGACGCCUAUGGGAGGCAGCAGUAGGGAAUCUUCCGCAAGGGACGAAAGUCUGACGGAGCAACGCCGCGUGAGCGAAGAAGGCCUUCGGGUCGUAAAGCUCUGUUGUUAGGGAAGAACAAGUAUCGGAGUAACUGCCGGUACCUUGACGGUACCUAACCAGAAAGCCACGGCUAACUACGUGCCAGCCGCCGCCGUAAGAC